GCUCGCCCGCUUGCCCGCCCGCGGGCCCGCAGGCCGCUCCGCCGGUCGCUCCGCCGGUCCUCUUCAGGCAGAGGUCUUCUCUUAAGUCGCCAUCGAAAGAACUGGAUUCAGUCCUUGAUGACCUACAGGCAGCAGCCCUCCACUUCGUCCUGAGACUCACCUCAAGAACCUCUUCCCCACCUCUACCACAGAUGACCUCUUCUCUCUCUCAUCCCUGGACACCUCAGGCACAGCCGGUCCUUCAUUCAUUCCUUCCCCCAAUACUACACACACAGUCACCUCAAGACAGGUCAACACGUCAACAAGGCAGCAUGAAUCCCAGCGAGUCCACCAUCUCUACAGCCCCCAGCUUCUUUUUCUUAUAAGGAAGAUGGCUCAGGGAGUAAAGGUACUUUAUAACAUGGACAACCUGAGUUCGAUCCCCAAGGCAGACAUGACAGAAGGCAAUAACUGACUCCGGAAAGUUGUCCUCUGACCUCCGCACGAGUGCCAUGGAUACUCUUAAAUAAAUAAAUAAAUAAAUAAAUAAAUAAAUAAAUAAAUAAAUAAA